rnacentral:misc_RNA from 1 species
GAAAUGCGAUAAGUAAUGUGAAUUGCAGAAUUCAGUGAAUCAUCGAAUCUUUGAACGCACCUUGCGCUCCUUGGUAUUCCUUGGAGCAUGCCUGUUUGAGUAUCAUGAAAACUUCAAAGUAAAUCUUUUGUUAACUCAAUUGGUUUCUACUUUGGUAUUGGAGGUCUUUGCAGCUUCACACCUGCUCCUCUUUGUUCAUUAGCUGGAUCUCAGUGUUAUGCUUGGUUCCACUCGGCGUGAUAAGUUAUCUAUCGCUGAGGACACUGUAAAAGGUGGCCAAGGUAAAUGCAGAUGAACCGCUUCUAAUAGUCCAUUGACUUGGACAAUACUUUUAUGAUCUGAUCUCAAAUCAGGUAGGACUACCCGCUGAACUUAAGC